rnacentral:rRNA from 1 species
GAACGCUGGCGGCGGCCUAAACAUGCAAGUCGAGCGGAAACGAGUUAUCUGAACCUUCGGGGAACGAUAACGGCGUCGAGCGGCGGACGGGUGAGUAAUGCCUAGGAAAUUGCCUUGAUGUGGGGGAUAACCAUUGGAAACGAUGGCUAAUACCGCAUGAUGCCUACGGGCCAAAGAGGGGGACCUUCGGGCCUCUCGCGUCAAGAUAUGCCUAGGUGGGAUUAGCUAGUUGGUGAGGUAAUGGCUCACCAAGGCGACGAUCCCUAGCUGGUCUGAGAGGAUGAUCAGCCACACUGGAACUGAGACACGGUCCAGACUCCUACGGGAGGCAGCAGUGGGGAAUAUUGCACAAUGGGCGCAAGCCUGAUGCAGCCAUGCCGCGUGUAUGAAGAAGGCCUUCGGGUUGUAAAGUACUUUCAGCAGUGAGGAAGGGGGUGUCGUUAAUAGCGGCAUCUCUUGACGUUAGCUGCAGAAGAAGCACCGGCUAACUCCGUGCCAGCAGCCGCGGUAAUACGGAGGGUGCGAGCGUUAAUCGGAAUUACUGCGCGUUAAGCGCAUGC